UAGGGAAUCUUCCGCAAUGGACGCAAGUCUGACGGAGCAACGCCGCGUGAGUGAAGAAGGAUUUCGGUUCGUAAAACUCUGUUGUUAGAGAAGAACAGCGCAUAGAGUAACUGUUAUGCGUGUGACGGUACCUAAUCAGAAAGCCACGGCUAACUACGUGCCAGCAGCCGCGGUAAUACGUAGGUGGCAAGCGUUAUCCGGAAUUAUUGGGCGUAAAGCGCGCGUAGGCGGUUUUUUAAGUCUGAUGUGAAAGCCCACGGCUCAACCGUGGAGGGUCAUUGGAGACUGGAAAACUUGAGUGCAGAAGAGGAGAGUGGAAUUCCAUGUGUAGCGGUGAAAUGCGAAGAUGUAUGGAGGAACACCGGUGGAGAAGGCGACUUUCUGGUCUGUAACUGACGCUGAUGUGCGAAAGCGUGGGGAUCAAACAGG
rnacentral:rRNA from 1 species